UGGGGAAUUUUGCGCAAUGGGGGAAACCCUGACGCAGCAACGCCGCGUGGAGGAUGAAGUACUUCGGUACGUAAACUCCUUUCGAUCGGGACGAUAAUGACGGUACCGGAAGAAGAAGCCCCGGCUAACUUCGUGCCAGCAGCCGCGGUAAUACGAGGGGGGCAAGCGUUGUUCGGAAUUAUUGGGCGUAAAGGGUGCGUAGGCGGUUUGGUAAGUCUCGUGUGAAAUCUCUGGGCUCAACUCAGAGACUGCACGAGAAACUGCCGGGCUUGAGUGUGGGAGAGGUGAGUGGAAUUUCCGGUGUAGCGGUGAAAUGCGUAGAUAUCGGAAGGAACACCUGUGGCGAAAGCGGCUCACUGGACCACAACUGACGCUGAUGCACGAAAGCUAGGGGAGCAAACAGGAUUAGAUACCCUGGUAGUCCUAGCCCUAAACGAUGACUGCUUGGUGUGACGGGUACCCAAUCCCGCCGUGCCGUAGCUAACGCGUUAAGCAGUCCGCCUGGGGAGUACGGUCGCAAGGCUG
rnacentral:rRNA from 1 species